UCCCGUUCCGUGGGCGGUGCCAUCAAGAUGGCGGCGGCAGCGGGAGAUCCGAGUUGUGUUCUCCGUUAGCGCUGCUUGGAGCGGGGCUGCGGCGCCAUGGAUGCCUCCGGCUGCAUGAAGUCCCUGCUCCGGGCAGCCAGGCAGUAUCGGGCUGCCCCGACGGCUGCCAACGCGGCGCUGCUGCAGCGCAGCCUGGAGGAUUGGUGCCCAGUUGAGGGAAACCGAAGAUCAGAGGAAAGAAUUACAGCAACAGCUAUGGGAUAGAGAUGGCAAAAUAGCGACUUUGCAACAGGAAAUAAAAGUUCUGGAAGACAAACUGAAAGCACAGCAGAAAGAACAAAAAGAUACGGAGCAAACUAUAGAUAUUCUUAGAAAGGAAUUAAGUAAAACGGAGCAAGCACGGAAAGAACUGAGUAUCAAGGCAUCUUCUCUGGAAGUUCAGAAAUCCCAGUUGGAAGGACGCUUGGAAGAAAAGGAAGCACUUGUGAAACUGCAGAAGGAGGAACUGAGCAAACAUUCCGCCAUGAUUGCAAUGAUUCACAGUCUGAGCAGUGGCAAGUUAAGUGUAGAAACAGUGAACCUCAGUUUAUAGGGCUUUGUGUCUAAGACUCUAGUACUUUAUGUGCGAGUAUACGUGAAGAUGUUUAAACCUGAGGAGAGCACACGGUCUGACUUGACAAAAAGAGCCAAACUAAAAAUAGCUUUAGUAUCAAUUGAG